CACGUAGGGGACGAGCGUUGUCCGGAUUCAUUGGGCGUAAAGCGCGCGUAGGCGGCUCGGAAAGUCGGUCGUGAAAUGCCGGGGCUCAACCCCGGGACUGCGUCCGAUACUCCCGAGCUGGAGGCAGGUAGGGGAGAUCGGAAUUCCUGGUGUAGCGGUGAAAUGCGCAGAUAUCAGGAGGAACACCAAUGGCGAAGGCAGCUCGCUGGGACGUGACUGACGCUGAGACGCGAAAGCGUGGGGAGCAAACAGG
rnacentral:rRNA from 1 species